GACGAACGCUGGCGGCGCGCCUAACACAUGCAAGUCGAACGAGCGAGAGAGAGCUUGCUUUCUCGAGCGAGUGGCGAACGGGUGAGUAACGCGUGAGGAACCUGCCUCAAAGAGGGGGACAACAGUUGGAAACGACUGCUAAUACCGCAUAAGCCCACGGCUCGGCAUCGAGCAGAGGGAAAAGGAGCAAUCCGCUUUGAGAUGGCCUCGCGUCCGAUUAGCUAGUUGGUGAGGUAAUGGCCCACCAAGGCGACGAUCGGUAGCCGGACUGAGAGGUUGAACGGCCACAUUGGGACUGAGACACGGCCCAGACUCCUACGGGAGGCAGCAGUGGGGAAUAUUGCACAAUGGGGGAAACCCUGAUGCAGCGACGCCGCGUGGAGGAAGAAGGUCUUCGGAUUGUAAACUCCUGUUGUUGGGGAAGAUAAUGACGGUACCCAACAAGGAAGUGACGGCUAACUACGUGCCAGCAGCCGCGGUAAAACGUAGGUCACAAGCGUUGUCCGGAAUUACUGGGUGUAAAGGGAGCGCAGGCGGGAAGACAAGUUGGAAGUGAAAUCUAUGGGCUCAACCCAUAAACUGCUUUCAAAACUGUUUUUCUUGAGUAGUGCAGAGGUAGGCGGAAUUCCCGGUGUAGCGGUGGAAUGCGUAGAUAUCGGGAGGAACACCAGUGGCGAAGGCGGCCUACUGGGCACCAACUGACGCUGAGGCUCGAAAGUGUGGGUAGCAAACAGGAUUAGAUACCCUGGUAGUCCACACCGUAAACGAU
rnacentral:rRNA from 1 species